UAUUUUUUUCUCACCGAUUCCCUUCAAGGUGGCUUGUUUUGGUGAGGACAUAGUAGUUCCCCAGCAUGUCUUUUCCGUCUUUCAGCCACGUCACUUUGGGGGCAGGGUGGGCAUCAAUGAGAAUGGUAAACUCUGUCUCCUCCAAAAGGCUCACAAACUCCACCGCGAGGAUCCCACUGUGGUCCAGCACCAGAAAGGAAUUCUCCUCUGAAGACACAGAACAAGUAAAGAAAGAAUGAGCUGGUGAUUGUGGAUGGAAGCUGGUGAAGAGUGAGAGAAGAUGGGAAAUGGAGGCAGAGUGACCGAGGGGGUUGAUGGGAAACUAAGGCCUGACCCACACAUCUGUUGAAGCCAUCCCAUAAAACAAGGCAGCUGAUGUUGAAAGCAGAGGUGAAGCUUAACAGUUGGACGGUAGAAAAUGACUUCCACACACCACUGAGGGCACCUUGUGCACAUAUGUGAAACCUUGACCACUUUACCUAAAUGACGGGACGGAAAACUUACCGAAGACGGUGACGGCCACGCUGCUGACUCUGACGUCUCCGCUGAUUUCGUGCGUGAUGGAGCACUCGUAGGUGCCACUGUCCUGAGCGGUGGCUUUGAGGAUAAAGAGGGUGUAGGUGACCCGGUCGGGAAAAGACUCUUUCAUCUGAACUGCAUCCGUAGCCUGAGAGUACAGAGGAACGGAUGGAGCCACUGCUGGUGGAAACCCAGGCCAGCGGGUGCGAUGCAGGUGAUGCUGAACGGCUGCCCGGCUCUCAGGUUUUCCUCGCUGGCUUUUACCUCCAGGUUGAAAUCCUCCAUCUCUGCGGGGGCUACGGAGAGAGCAGAUAUCAGCACGGUCAUCCGGCAGGUCCCAGGAUAGUGACGGCUUCAUUACCAUGAAGUCAUUUCUCAUGGAGUGGUGGCUCAAUGGGGCAGGACGGAGGCGACCUUACGGAGAACCAGCAGUACAGUGCAGCAGCAGCAGCAGCGGCGGCCCUCCACCAUUCAACCCCCUUUUCAGAUCUUGAUUGUUGGCUCCUACUGCAGCUUGGUAACCACGAAAUGCAAACGGCGAUGGCGUUAAGAAGCACAAACACAUCUGCCUCCGCCCUGCGGCCACGUGAGAGGUUUCACUUCAUAAUGACCCCCUGGGACCAUUUCAUCUACAGUGGCGCUCGACAUAAUGAGUCAAUCAGAGAUCGGCCUCCGGCAGAGGCUUCGUAUCGGAAAGCUCCGACUUCUCGCAGCUGUUUCCCUUUGGUGAGGCCCAGUGCAACGUUACAGAAGCAAACACUUAGUGGGGUUACUGCGGAAAACUGCGACAUUUAACUUUAAUCGCGAGCCAUCUUUCUUUCUUCAUGGGCUUUCUAAAAUCAUUUAACUGUCACACAACUAUAACAACUUCCGAUGUUCAAAUCUCCAGUUUGUUGCGAUAGAGUUUAACAUCUAAAGUCAUGUUUACUUUUCAUCACAUUUGCCUUCAUAAGAUUAAUGCUGCCGGUGCCGGCCUGAGGUGGAUAUCUUGCCGUCAAUUAAAACCCAUACUACACCAGAGCUGAGGUUGACCCCUGACCUGUGACCCUAAUUUAACUCAGCAGUGUACUACAAGGAGAUAAACACUCCCAGUUGCCGAGGCUCUCAAUGGCCUUUGACUGAAGGGGAGGAGGAGAGUUCAUUGUGGAAGCGGGAGAGGAAGAAUACUCAAGACUCUUGUAGUACACUUGUAGGAAGUCACGUGAGACUGGUGCAUCGGCCAGUAAUAAUAAUAAUAAUAAAAACUUUGCCGGUUAAUGGAAAAUUCACCAUGUUUUAAAUGAAAAUCAAGGAGGCUAUUUUGGGAUCUCAUCAUCAUUUGAGAUUAAUUGCAGUGUCGAGAAGAAUAUUGUUGUUGCUCUAGAAUGUAUUCAGCCUUGGUGUUUGCUCUUCCCCUCUGUGUUUAUUUUCAGUCUUCGCUGGGAACCCCACUGUGUCAGCCAGGUUAUUCCUGCCUGACUUGUUGUGGCGGUAUAAAUCAUACAAUGUGUGUACAGAGAGAAAGAAAAAGGACAAAUCACCUGACACAUUCAUGAUUUGCUCUCUUAUUUAAAUAGCGACACUGGGUUUGGGAUUGGAAUUACAGAUUACCACGCAGCUCAGCUGUCAUUAUGGUCGGUCUUAUUUGUUCAGUCGGUCUACUCUUUGAUUGGAUAAUGAUACGCUCAGCUGAAUGGAUGUAUAGACGAACAAAGAAACAUUUCACUUUCCAUAUACACCAGCAAUUAUCUAUCCAUGCUUCAUGCACACUGAUGAACUUUAAUCUUUCUUCUAACAAAACAAAGAGAGAAAGAGAAAAUUUCAGGAGCUCACAUCACAGCUUCACAUAGACUGGGACUUUAUGAGUUUCAACAUGUUCGGUGUGAUGCAACCUCUUUACCACAGGUUAGAGGUGUUGUGUGCACAUCCAUCCCAUCCCGAGGAAGAUUUUUGUUGGGGCAAAAUGUUGCUGAUAAAAGCUUGGAGCUCUGUAUCCUCGUAAACUCAUCACCAUUAUCAAACUGACAUGAAUCCAUAAGAGAUAAAGAGCUAAUGACCAUGUUCAUUUACAGUAUUCUUCACUUGUACCUCGCAUCAUAGACAAUUAUGGAAGCAGUUUUGAAUUAAAUUAAAAAAAAACUAUUACUUCAGUGACUUUGGUGAGUAAAUUGUACUUGUUAAAUGCCUUUUAACAAGUACAAAAAAAACAUUUGAACUCUGUUCCACUUGGAUGGUCGAUUCUCUUUAUCUAUUAUUCAUCCAGUUUGUAUUCUGUCGGUGUGUUCUGAUCUUUACUUCUCAAACUUCAAAGAGGUUCUCUUUAACUCUUUAUCCUGA